UUUUAAUCUCAGGGCGGGGCGAAAUUCCCCACCGGCGGUAACUUAACAAUGAGUCACUCCUGAUUUAUUUUAAGGUAGCCCGCGAGCGCUCUUAUUGGUUUUAUUUAGCAAUAGGAGGUCAGCAGAUCUGGUGUGACUCCAGAGCCGACGGUUAUAGUCCGGAUGAGAGAGUUUAAGG
rnacentral:ncRNA from 2 species